UUCCUACGGGAGGCAGCAGUAGGGAAUUUUGCGCAAUGGGGGAAACCCUGGCGCAGCAACGCCGCGUGAUUGAUGAAGCCCUUCGGGGUGUAAAGAUCUGUCAGUGGGGACGAAACUUGACGGUACCCACAGAGGAAGCAUCGGCUAACUCCGUGCCAGCAGCCGCGGUAAUACGGGGGAUGCAAGCGUUGUCCGGAAUCAUUGGGCGUAAAGAGUUCGUAGGUGGCACGUUAAGUCUGGUGUUAAAUGCAGAGGCUCAACCUCUGUUCGGCACUGGAUACUGGCGAGCUUGAAUGCGGUUGAGG
rnacentral:rRNA from 1 species